CUGGACAGUCUGAGCUGUAUAUCUCUCUGGACAGACUGAGCUGUAUAUCUCUCUGGACAGACUGAGCUGUAUAUCUCUCUCUGGACAGACUGAGCUGUAUAUCUCUCUCUGGACAGACUGAGCUGUAUAUCUCUCUGGACAGACUGAGCUGUAUAUCUCUCUGGACAGACUGAGCUGUAUAUCUCUCUGGACAGACUGAGCUCUGUAUAUCUCUCUCUCUCAGACAGAUUCCUUUUCAAUCCUUCAAAUACAUCAAAUAACAUUCUGAUUCAUUUGGCCUUUUUGUGUGAGUCCCAUUUCGCUGUAAAUCUGUGGGUAAAUCUUACAACAGGUUUACAUUGUAACGUGUGAUGCUGCAUUGUGUAUUCACAUCUGAUGCUUUAUUCAUUAGGUAUUCAUCAGUAGAAAGCAAUGAGUAUUUAAAUCACAGUACAGACAGUAGUUUCACACACUAACAGAGACUAACAGAGUGUCUGGCAGGUUAGAGCCUGGGGUUAGGGGUCAGGGGUUAGAGGAUAGGGGGUUAGAGGUUAGAGAAUAGGGGUUAGGGGUUAGAGGUUAGGGAAUAGGGGUUAGCGGUUAGGGGUUAGGGGUUAGGGGUCAGAGGAUAGGGGUUAGAGGUUAGGGAAUAGGGGUUAGGGGUUAGAGGUUAGGGGUUAGAGGUUAGGGAAUAGGGGUUAGGGGUUAGAGGUUAGGGAAUAGGGGUUAGAGGUUAGGGGUUAGGGGUCAGAGGAUAGCGGUUAGAGUCAGGCAGUAACAGGUGAUAGCAGCAGCAGCUAGAGAGUAGUCAAGGCCCGUGAUGCUGCAAAGCGUUUCAAUGAGACUCCGUCAUCGCCAACCAAUCAGGUCCUCAGCCUGCUGCGUCUGUCUGCGUGGGGGGAGGGGCCAAAGACUGUCCAGUUAAAGGCCGUCUGUCAGACCAAUCACCUCAAGGCUUCAGCCUCCAUGAAAAAUCACAGGGAUCACAGCAAAACAGCAAUAAGAGCAUCACACGUGUUAUAACAGACGUUACAAGGUGUUAUAACAGAUGUUACAAUGUGUUAUAACAGACGUUACCAUGUUUUAUAACAGUGUUAUGGAUGUAUGAGAUGUUAAAACACAUUGUAACAGUGUUAUAGAUGUAUGAGAUGUUACAAUGUGUUAUAACAGAUGUUACAAUGUGUUAUAACAGAGUACAAUGUGUUAUAACAGUGUUAUAGAUGUAUGAAUGUUACAAUGUUUUAUAACAGAUGUUACAAUGUGUUAUGACAGUGUUAUAGAAGUAUGAGACGUUACAAUGUGUUAUAACAGUGUUAUAGAAGUAUGAGACGUUACAAGGUGUUAUAACAGGUGUUAUAACAGUGUUAUAGAUGUAUGAGGACCAUGUAUAUAAUAUAGGAUCAUGUUAACAGACUGCUCUACCUGAGAAAACCUUUUCCACACAGACACUCUUAACUUUCCCAUGGUCACAUCCCACCACAGACAGACAGGGGAUUCAGAACCACAGACAGACAGGGGAUUCAGAACCACAGACAGACAGGGGAUUCAGAACCACAGACAGACAGGGGAUUCAGAACCACAGACAUGUUAACAGACAGACAGGGGAUUCAGAACCACAGACAGACAGGGGAUUCAGAACCACAGACAUACAGGGGAUUCAGAACCACAGACAGACAGGGGAUUCAGAACCACAGACAUGUUAACAGACAGACAGGGGAUUCAGAACCACAGACAGACAGGGGAUUCAGAACCACAGACAGACAGGGGAUUCAGAACCACAGACAGACAGGGGAUUCAGAACCACAGACAGACAGGGGAUUCAGAACCACAGACAUGUUAACAGACAGACAGGGGAUUCAGAUCCACAGACAGACAGGGGAUUCAGAACCACAGACAGACAGGGGAUUCAGAACCACAGACAGACAGGGGAUUCAGAACCACAGACAGACAGGGGAUUCAGAACCACAGACAGACAGGGGAUUCAGAACCACAGACAUGUUAACAGACAGACAGGGGAUUCAGAACCACAGACAGACAGGGGAUUCAGAUCCACAGACAGACAGGGGAUUCAGAUCCACAGACAUGUUAACAGACAGACAGGGGAUUCAGAACCACAGACAUACAGGGGAUUCAGAACCACAGACAUGUUAACAGACAGACAGACGGGAUUCAGAACCACAGACAUGUUAACAGACAGACAGAGUGAUUCAGAACCACAGACAUGCUAACAGACAGACAGGGGAUUCAGAACCACAGACAUGUUAACA
rnacentral:lncRNA from 1 species